GCAUCGUACCAAAGGUGAUGAACUCUUAUGAAGUGGUGUACAAGGAUGUACUAAUGAUUCUUUCAAGGCAACAGGUGAUUCUUUCAAGGCAAGAGGUGUUAGGAAGUGACAGAUUUUUGUAUCUUGCUGAUAACUUGGAUGCUGAUGGAAAGAUGGAUGUAAUGCACCUGAGGGAUCAUCUCUUGACCAUUGCUUGAGAUAGAGAUAUUCAUCUUAUUGGAGAAACUAGGUGGAUAAACAGUUCAGAUGAAGGCAUGGAAGCACAUGCAUAUGUGUGUUCAUUCUGAGAUGACUUCAUCCAGGGCUGUUUGCUGUGAGAGGGCUAUGAUGUGAUGGAGCACAAGUUGAUCAGACUGAUGAGGUAUCCCCAUGGUAACAUUGACAAAAGGCAACCAGUAGUCGAUGAUUUGAAAAGCAUAAGAAUGGAGUUGGCAACCUACAUGACACUCAAGCACGCUUUCUCUUGCAAUUAAAUCCCAUACUAAAAUUAUUGCCUCGGGUGCAUGAACCUGCGACAUGCGUCAAUGCAUCUUGUGGCAAUUAUUAAAGCAAGCAUAUCAAUACACUAUAGUUUAUUGUUGCUUCGGAUUGGUUGAACUCCAUCGAAAGCAGAUGAUUUCGUAAACUGUAGAAAUGUCAGUUUGAAGUUAAAGCAUAGCUGCAAUAAAUUUGUAUUAGACACAAGUUUUCUGCAUCUUUGUACUAUUUUUUUAUUAAUGAAAACUCUUUUUACAUGGCUUUCAAGUUAAAUGCACUGAAAAGUGUGUGCUUUUUAACAAUAUUUAUCCAUGCUUUUCUGGACAACUGAGGGAGCUGUUGCUGUAAAAACCAUCUAGGGAAAACAUAGUUCAGAGCAUAGGUCUUUCUGUUCAAAUUGUGAACCCAGACUUAACUGAAAACAUUUCUGAGACGGGUUGAA